CCUACGGGAGGUAGCAGUGAGGAAUAUUGGUCAAUGGGCGCUAGCCUGAACCAGCCAAGUAGCGUGAAGGAUGACUGCCCUAUGGGUUGUAAACUUCUUUUAUAUGGGAAUAAAGUGCAGUAUGUAUACUGCUUUGCAUGUACCUUAUGAAUAAGGAUCGGCUAACUCCGUUCCAACAGCCGCGGUAAAUAGGAGGAUCGGAGCGUUUACCGGAUUUAUUGGGUUUAAAGGGAGCGUAGGCGGGUUGGUAAGUCCGUUGUGAAAGUUUGCGGCUUAAACGUAAAAUUGCAGUUGAUACUGGCAUCCUUGAGUACAGUAGAGGUAGGCGGAAUGCGUGGUGUAGCGGUGAAAUGCUUAGAUAUCACGAAGAACUCCGAUUGCGAAGGCAGCCUGCUGGACUGUAACUGACGCUGAUGCUCGAAAGUGUGGGUAUCAAACAGGAUUAGAUACCCUGGUAGUC
rnacentral:rRNA from 1 species